AACACCAGUCGUUAAUUAUAUUUCAUAAUUCGUCCGCGUUUUAUUGUGUCAACGAGUGUGUUGCAUUGACUGUGCGUUUUCGUGGGCUGCUAAUUGACACGUCGUUGCAUUGCACCCUCGUAGUUGUAGUCAGUCACUCUUUUUUUAAAACUAAUACUUAUGGUUGAAAAUGAGCAAAGUGAAAUAUUUAAAAAAACAACAAUAAAAUGGUUAUUGAUUAAUGAAAAUUAAAAACACAUAGGAAGUUGGCUUCACGCGUAUAAGAAUGGUUCUUUCGACAACAAGAUCAAUUUAGGUCAAUAUUUUACAGGAUAUAAUUUAAUUGUCCUUAGUUUUUCCAUUUUACCAGCACUUCAUCACUAUACGGCAUAUUAUAACAUUAAGUUCAACAGAAAUUCGUCAGCGGAGCGCAAUUAUUAUUCUGCGUAAAUACGAUACCUGCUGCAGACUUGACGCGGAUCGAUAUACAGCGAUAAUAUCGUGUCGCUGUACAUCAUGAACGAAUACCGCGACAUCUGAUGUGAUUUGGGAGA